CUUGUAUUCAAUAAUGACUGGUGAUGAGAUGUGAUGUUUCCAGUAUGAUCUAUCAACUAAGUGGCAGAGCAUCAAGUAGAAAUUGCCUAGCUCACCAAAACCAAAGAAAUUUCACUCUCAGAAGUCAUGAAUCAAGGCGAUGCGCAUUUAUUUUUAUGAUUCCAAAGGCGUUGUUCAUUGGGAAUUUGUUCUAGAAGGUCAAAAAGUUACUAGCAAAUGUUGUUUGGGUAUUUUGGAGCAUUUGUGAAAAAAAAAUUAUAUAAACAAGAGCAAAUAGAAGAGGGUCUGGUAGUAGUUUCUUUUCAAUGAUGAUGCACCAAUGCACAAGACCACCACUGUCAAGCAUUUUUGAACUUGAAAACAAGUAUGCAUUUUUGAUCAUCCACCUUAAUUUAUACUGUAAAUUAUUAUAUUACCAUUUAUGCUGUUAUACUCCAGAUUUAGCACUGUGCAAUUAUUUUCUAUUUCUGAAAUUAAAAAUGCCAAUGAAAAGGAUCCAAUAUUAUGAUAGUGAAACAGUCAAAAGUCAUGGUGAAUUUUGAAUGUUUCACUAUUGGUACAAAUCUGCUUUUUAUUUAAAAUAUGUUCUUUCUGCAU
rnacentral:lncRNA from 1 species